GACUAGAAGGGCGUGGAUGCAGAAGGGCAGAAAUGACAGAAGCCAACUGGGCCUGUGCUUUAAGCUCUGGGUCCACGUUCUUUGUCCAAAAGACAGCUAUCAUCUAAGACUGAGGGCAGAAUCCUGGGGAUUGAGCCUAUCUUGUAGCUUCCCAUCUUUAAAACCCCAUCUACUGUAAGCAGAUCUAUUCAGGCUCAGAGAAAGAACAUCUAAAGCAUUUUUCACUCGGCAAGAACACAUGUGCAUUCAUGAACGGUGAGCAGCCAUGGAGAGAAUAAGGACUUGAGACCACAUGGAUAACAGGACCCAGCUGAGUCCAGCCCACAGCUUCUCCACCAGCUGACCGAUGCCAUGUCAGUGCCCCCACAGCCACAGCAGGAAAACUGCCACUUGGCAACACCGUGAGCAACCCUAAAAGGAUCAAUAUGACUUAAAUUCUAAUGAAGAGUAUGCUUUGGAUUUCUGGCAACCAAAGAGAAUACAGAGAUAGGACUCAUUCAAAUCCAUUCCAGAGAAAGAAUCCCGCCUGGAGGCGGCUAUAAUUUACUCUUGGAGUUGUCGUUGCUCCAUGUCGAGUGACAGAAGAACGUCUCAGAGCUCGGAUGGAAAGUGGAAUUGACUGCUUUGCAGAAAUCACCCACAGAGUUUGAGAACAGCCAAACCAGGCAGGAGUGUGGCUGUGCCCAAGGAACACUAGAACCAGGGUCCGAAACCGAGCACCAUUCCCUUGCUCUCUUCUUGGGGGCCCUCUCGCUGCUUGGUUCUGUCGCUUGUCGCUGUAGAUGGGUUUUCUCCAUAUAGAACAAAUGUAAGGAAGGACUCAGCGGAGCUUAGGAUAGGGCUAUGUAAGAAAAUGACCUCCCAGUGGGUAGCAGAGACACACGUCAGGAUGAUGCUCUCGGCCAGUAAAAAUCCGUAUCGGUGCUGAACAUCUUCACUCUCUGUAUAAAAUUCAAGUCAUAAAAGUGAAACACAAACCUCAGUCGGUCAGCCCUGGAGAAUAAGUAAGGCUUACACUCAAAAGGAAAGAGUUUCCUAGAAUAUGGGGUGUGCUUGAGAAAUGUCUCUAUUCAUAGGGGCUUCCCACCUGAUAUUCCUUCAGAUUGCACCCUUAAAUAAGACAACUAUGGGUACAGAUGUUCUCUGAAUACUCAAGUGUUUCAUGGCUCCGGAUU